AUGCAGUCGAACGAGAAUCUGUGGAUCGAGGAUUCGUCCAAGUGAAGCAGAGGACAGUGGCGGACGGGUGAGUAACGCGUGAGGAACCUGCCUUUCAGAGGGGGACAACAGUUGGAAACGACUGCUAAUACCGCAUGAUACAUUUGGGUGGCAUCAUCUGAAUGUCAAAGAUUUAUCGCUGAAAGAUGGCCUCGCGUCUGAUUAGCUGGUUGGUGAGGUAACGGCCCACCAAGGCGACGAUCAGUAGCCGGACUGAGAGGUUGACCGGCCACAUUGGGACUGAGAUACGGCCCAGACUCCUACGGGAGGCAGCAGUGGGGAAUAUUGGGCAAUGGGCGCAAGCCUGACCCAGCAACGCCGCGUGAAGGAAGAAGGCUUUCGGGUUGUAAACUUCUUUUAAGAGGGAAGAGCAGAAGACUGUACCUCUAGAAUAAGCCACGGCUAACUACGUGCCAGCAGCCGCGGUAAUACGUAGGUGGCAAGCGUUGUCCGGAUUUACUGGGUGUAAAGGGCGUGCAGCCGGGAAUGCAAGUCAGAUGUGAAAUCCAUGGGCUUAACCCAUGAACUGCAUUUGAAACUGUAUUUCUUGAGUACUGGAGAGGCAAUCGGAAUUCCUAGUGUAGCGGUGAAAUGCGUAGAUAUUAGGAGGAACACCAGUGGCGAAGGCGGAUUGCUGGACAGCAACUGACGGUGAGGCGCGAAAGUGUGGGGAGCAAACAGGAUUAGAUACCCUGGUAGUCCACACUGUAAACGAUGAAUACUAGGUGUGCGGGGACUGACCCCCUGCGUGCCGCAGUUAACACAAUAAGUAUUCCACCUGGG
rnacentral:rRNA from 1 species